rnacentral:rRNA from 1 species
UACGUAGGGUGCAAGCGUUGUCCGGAAUUAUUGGGCGUAAAGAGCUCGUAGGCGGCUUGUCACGUCGACUGUGAAAACCCGGGGCUCAACUCCGGGCCUGCAGUCGAUACGGGCUGGCUUGAGUGCGGUAGGGGAGACUGGAAUUCCUGGUGUAGCGGUGAAAUGCGCAGAUAUCAGGAGGAACACCGGUGGCGAAGGCGGGUCUCUGGACCGACACUGACGCUGAGGCGCGAAAGCGUGGGGAGCAAACAGG